UACGUAGGGUGCGAGCGUUAAUCGGAAUUACUGGGCGUAAAGCGUGCGCAGGCGGCUUUGCAAGACAGAUGUGAAAUCCCCGGGCUUAACCUGGGAACUGCAUUUGUGACUGCAUGGCUAGAGUGCGGCAGAGGGGGAUGGAAUUCCGCGUGUAGCAGUGAAAUGCGUAGAUAUGCGGAGGAACACCGAUGGCGAAGGCAAUCCCCUGGGCCUGCACUGACGCUCAUGCACGAAAGCGUGGGGAGCAAACAGG
rnacentral:rRNA from 1 species